GCCCAGGAGGCUGGGCGCUGCUUGCACCUGGCACAGCCGCUGAGGGGGUCCCUGCGAAGGCGGCGCUGAUCCUGUCUGGCUUGGCCGGGGGUGCAGAGGCCGAGGCCUGUGCCAGCUCUGUGUCAGGUGUCUGUGCUGCUAGCAGCUGUGAACACCUCUUACGCUGCAGGAUUGCUGCAGGAACCUUCGCUGCUCAUGGGCCAGGUGCUGACUGCAGGGGAGAGGCCGUUUCUUCUUUAAGAAGCUGGGAUUUAGCUAAAUGCCUUCCUGCUUGUCCCGACAGCGAUGGCAGCAGGCACCAAGCACUGCACACAGUUGCUACCUGGUGGCGAGCGGGAGGUAAGGGACUUUUAAUACGUUUUUCCCUCUGUGCUGGUUUUGUGCUGAGGACUGUGCUACUGAGGCUGCUGCACGUAUUCAUGCAAACUCCUUCCCAUUUUUCAGUGGGUUAGCUGUCAGAAAAAUUUGGUUGGCAUUGCUGUCACUAUAGAGGACUAAACUAUUUAUUUCAGACAUAGACUUUGUGGACUGCAUAGCCAAGGAACUCUGUAGUAACUAACAGUGUUGGGGUUUGCAGUGCAUGAAAGCCAUUGGAAAAUAGAGCAGGGACAGGGCGUAUUAGAAAUAAAUUACACUGGUAAUAAUAUACUCAACAUUUUAUUAUAAAACCCUCUAAAGCGCCACUUUAUAGCUCACAGUUACGACAAAGGAAAUGCCUUGAGUUAAGAAAACAAUGGGGACACAGAGACAUUGUUUAACAUUUUUUUGUCUGGGAAACGUGUGUUGCUCAGGACUCGCCUACGUUUACCAUCCCCUGGCGGUCCCAGCAAGACCACCGAAGCUGACGGGGCUGCGGUGCGGGCAGCGGGGCUGCUCUCGCCCAGCGCUGUCUGGGUACCACUGUGAAAUGGCUGGACAAGCUCUGGCAGCUGACAGCGGGGUGCAAGGUGAGGGCACGGUGCUAUGUGUGUAUUUAGGGUGUGGACAGGGUCUCCUGCCAGCUCAUCGUGGGUCAAAACAAAAGCUUUGUGAUGGUGGCCGUGGCCCCCUUGUGCUUUGGAGCUGAAAGGCCCCUGGGUCCUGAGCCAGCAGUGGCAGCAGUUGAUUUGCAGGAGUUUUUCCUAUGUGCAAACCUUGCUGAGGGACAGGGCUGACAGCUGGGGCUGGUGAACCCCUCCUGAGGCCUGGGCUUACAAAUUCCUCAGUCAGUGCCACAGUAAAAAACAGGCACGAGGGCAUCCUUCUUGCCUCGGGGAUACCCUGCCUACGUGCUUUGCUGUGCCAAGGCUCCAUGGCAGCAGCGAGCAGCCUCCCGCACCCCUUCAUCCCCCAGCCAUCAGGCCUCUGUUCACGGAGAGGCCUCAUUUGGAGCUGAUCUCAGGCCCGUCAAAGGCUUUCAAGGGUUAGGAAGGUACAACGUUUUGCCUGUCUUUACCCUGGUUCUGGGUGCUGUUUGUCAGCGUAGCCGCAGGACCCCAGGGACAGCCCAGCCGGGUUAGCAGAGCUGCUUUGGCUUUGCAGGGUUGGAGACCACUGAGGCCCUGCAGUCAGCUCGGUUACCGAGCUGCAGGGCUGAAGGACCAGCAGAGGAGCCAGGCAGUGGUGUCUGCAGGCCUUCAGAUGUGACAGCAGGUCACGAGGAGGAGAGGGAAACAGGUGGAUGGAUUUCUGCCCUGUGCCUUCAAAUUUUACUGUCUCUAAGCUUACCAGUUCCAGGCACCUGACAUCGCUCAUUAAAAAGCUCGGCCAGAGAGGAGAGGGAUGAGCUCUGCAGGCCACAGCACCCAAAGGCUAUAUUAAGUAAGUUUAAUCAUCUGGAAAUAAGGGUGAUAGCACCAAGACAGCCAGCAGCCCACCAGAGACACGGAGGAGAACAGAUCCAGCACCCUCCUGCACCCAUGUGAAGGGUUCCUUUCCCACAGGGAGGUGUUCAGCAGAUUGUGCAGCUGCUGCUGCGCUGCAGCCCUGCAGGGACCAGAGAGCAUCACCAAAGUGGUGCUUGCAGCCAGGGCAGGAGCACAGGGACACUUUUACCUCCCCUCCCCUUGGAAGAGGCCAGCAUCAGGAUCCAGCAUCCUCAUCCAUCAGGUAAGCAGGCCUGGGCCUUUGGUAAAUUGGUAACAAGCCUUCAAAUAUGAUUUUCUUUUUCUUUUUUUUCUUUUUUUUCCAGAACUCCUCUGGAUGCUGUCUGAGAGAUCUUCUUUGCCCAGAGCCCUUGGUGCCACCAGGCUGUAAUAGAGCACAAGAAGGUGAGCAGGGAUCUUCCUCCGUAUUGUGGCAAAUCAACCCUGCUGCAGGCUGGUAGGAAGAAGGCCACGGUGUGAUGCAUCUGGUCACUGAAAAUCUCUGCUGCAGGUGUAGAUAUACUUAGUGCCCUGUUAUGCUGAGAGGAUCCUUCCCGCUGGUGUGUGCUUCUCAUCCGUGUCUCAGCCAUCGCUCAGGCCCGGGUACCUCCCCAGGCUGAAGGCUGGAUGAUCUGCAGCUGAGUGAUGACCAGCACCAACAGGUGAGACUUUACCUGAUUGGGAUUUGCUGUGACAGGU